ACCUCGGAUCAGGUAGGAAUACCCGCUGAACUUAAGCAUAUCAAUAAGCGGAGGAAAAGAAACCAACAGGGAUUGCCUUAGUAACGGCGAGUGAAGCGGCAACAGCUCAAAUUUGAAAUCUGGCCCCCAGGCCCGAGUUGUAAUUUGUAGAGGAUGCUUCUGGCGACGCGACUUCCGAGUUCCCUGGAACGGGACGCCAAAGAGGGUGAGAGCCCCGUCCGGUCGUUCGCCUAGCCUAUGUGAAGCUCCUUCGACGAGUCGAGUAGUUUGGGAAUGCUGCUCUAAAUGGGAGGUAUACGUCUUCUAAAGCUAAAUAUUGGCCAGAGACCGAUAGCGCACAAGUAGAGUGAUCGAAAGAUGAAAAGCACUUUGAAAAGAGGGUUAAAUAGUACGUGAAAUUGCUGAAAGGGAAGCGCUUAUGACCAGACUUGGGCUAGGUGAAUCAUCCGGCGUUCUCGCCGGUGCACUUUGCCUGUCCAGGCCAGCAUCAGUUCGCUUCGGGGGAUAAAGGCUUCGGGAAUGUAGCUCCUCCGGGAGUGUUAUAGACCGUUGUGUAAUACCCUGGGGUGGACUGAGGUACGCGUUCGCAAGAUGCUGCUAUAU
rnacentral:rRNA from 1 species